AUCAGAGUACAAAAGUCCAAACAAUGCACUUUGGUAUCCAAUUAAACAGGAAAUUCAGUGACUACAGCUGAAAGCUAAAGGUUCGGUCAUGGUGGACAGACUCUGGUCAAUUAUGGAAAUAUUUCAAGCACUCCCUCCAUGGUUUCUUAUAUUUGGAAUAUUCAUCCCAGUUUCUCUGCUCUUGUUGCUGAUAAUUGCUUUCUUCAGCCUGGAACUAAUGAAAGUGAACAAUGAAAUAACAAUGAACGAAGAUCUGAAUUACUUUAUUAAAGAACACUUUUUCUCCAAGCAUUCAACUGAAUACAGAGCACAGAAUAAAAUGCAUAACAAUUAAAUCUCUCAAGAGAUACUUACAAAAGUGAACCUGUCAUUAAUGCCUUCAGAAGAAUUGCUUAAGAUGGAACCAACGAGGCAAAAUUACCAAGAUGAACCAUUUGAUACUCUACAGGAGUACCAAACUGUCAAGUAUUAUAUUGGUGGAUAAUUUUACUUCAAUGUUCCAUACAGUUUAUCUCAAACCCAAGAAAAUACAAGAUCUUAUAUUAUAUUUAUUCUUCAGAUCUAUUCAGAUGAAAGAGCUAAAUAUCUGAGAUUUCACAAAAAAUAAAAAGUAUGAAAUUAA